CCUACGGGAGGCAGCAGUGGGGAAUAUUGGGCAAUGGGCGCAAGCCUGACCCAGCAACGCCGCGUGAAGGAAGAAGGCUUUCGGGUUGUAAACUUCUUUUAUCAGGGACGAAGCAAGUGACGGUACCUGAUGAAUAAGCCACGGCUAACUACGUGCCAGCAGCCGCGGUAAUACGUAGGUGGCAAGCGUUAUCCGGAUUUACUGGGUGUAAAGGGCGUGUAGGCGGGAAAGCAAGUCAGAUGUGAAAACCAUGGGCUCAACCUGUGGCCUGCAUUUGAAACUGUUUUUCUUGAGUACUGGAGAGGCAGACGGGAUUCCUAGGGUAGCGGUGAAAUGCGUAGAUAAUAGGAGGGACCCCAGGGGGGGAGGCGGUCUGGUGGACAGCAACUGACGCUGAGGCGGGGAAGCGUGGGGAGCAAACAGGAUUAGAUACCCCUGUAGUC
rnacentral:rRNA from 1 species